CCUAGCUGCAUCACACUGUCUGCCCCAUGGGGACCUGGAGCACAAUGUGUCCUCAGCAUCCCUAGCUGCAUCACACUCAUCCCUAGCUGCAUCACACUGUCUGCCCCAUGGGGACCUGGAGCACAAUGUGUCCUCAGCAUCCCUAGCUGCAUCACACUGUCUGCCCCAUGGGGACCUGGAGCACAAUGUGUCCUCAGCAUCCCUAGCUGCAUCACACUCAUCCCUAGCUGCAUCACACUGUCUGCCCCAUGG